AGUGAACGCUGGCGGUAGGCCUAACACAUGCAAGUCGAACGGCAGCACAGUAAGAGCUUGCUCUUACGGGUGGCGAGUGGCGGACGGGUGAGGAAUACAUCGGAAUCUACUUUUUCGUGGGGGAUAACGUAGGGAAACUUACGCUAAUACCGCAUACGACCUACGGGUGAAAGCAGGGGAUCUUCGGACCUUGCGCGAUUGAAUGAGCCGGUGUCGGAUUAGCUAGUUGGCGGGGUAAAGGCCCACCAAGGCGACGAUCCGUGGCUGGUCUGAGAGGAUGAUCAGCCACACUGGAACUGAGACACGGUCCAGACUCCUACGGGAGGCAGCAGUGGGGAAUAUUGGACAAAGGGCGCAAGCCUGAUCCAGCCAUACCGCGUGGGUGAAGAAGGCCUUCGGGUUGUAAAGCCCUUUUGUUGGGAAAGAAAAGCAGCAGGUUAAUACCCCGCUGUUCUGACGGUACCCAAAGAAUAAGCACCGGCUAACUUCGUG
rnacentral:rRNA from 1 species